rnacentral:rRNA from 1 species
UACGUAGGUCGCAAGCGUUGUCCGGAUUUACUGGGCGUAAAGCGUGCGCAGGCGGUUUUGUAAGCCAGAUGUGAAAUCCCCGGGCUUAACCUGGGAAUGGCAUUUGGGACUGCAAGGCUGGAGUGUGGCAGAGGAGACUGGAAUUCCUGGUGUAGCAGUGAAAUGCGUAGAUAUCAGGAGGAAUACCGAUGGCGAAGGCAGGUCUCUGGGCUGACACUGACGCUCAUGCACGAAAGCGUGGGGAGCAAACAGG